rnacentral:lncRNA from 1 species
AAAGAAAUCCCAAUGGAUUUAACCGAUAUAGCUACACAUGUUCAUGUUUAAAACAACUAGGAAAUCAAUUAUAAUGAAAGAAUAAUGAAAAUGAAACAUGUACACCCUUUUCUCUCGAAUUGGAUGAACAGCUCCACAUCUGAAUCUACACUACGAUUGAUCUCCCUAAUUGCCUCUUAAUUUUCUCUACUACUGCUUUGCACUUGGAGUCUUGCGAUUUUAGGGUUCUUCCUCUCUGC